GAGAACCUAUGUUGGCUGGAUGUACUUGCUACCUGAUUGCUGCUGGAGUGAGAAACUUUUUCAUGUCAGUUACCCCUGAAGGAGUGUGAGUGACUGAUUCUGACUAGACCCAAGAGCUAUGCAUAGUGCAAGAUUGGGUUCCAGAAGCAUCCAUCUAUCAGCAGCAGUGGGUUCUACUACAUGACAGUACUAUGAUGUGAUUGAUGCAAGUGCACUUGCAUCCUCCUGAGGCUUCUCAGCAUGACUCAUCAUAAAGUCAGAGGGAUUUGGAAAGAUCCUGGCUUUCCAGGGAAGAAAAAUCCUCCAUUUGGAGAGAGAUGAUCUGCCUUAUUUAAAUGGGAUGCAAAUACAGGUGACUGACUGCUAGACCUGCUCAAUGGAGAGCCCUCUCUGUUCCAGAUGUGUCUCUUUGGAGCCCAACACCUGCUGGAACCCAGGACUCUGAAGAGUGCAUUUAUUUUGCCACCUGAUAAAUCAUGGAAGCGUUGAUACUGACAGCAAGACUCUCUCUUUUUUGCUGUGUAAUACAAGUAAUUAUUACUGUUAUUGGCAAGGUCAAUGAACAAUACAUGGAGUUCUGUGUUGAUCUGUGGGUGCAUAUUGAGUUGUGUGUUGAUCAGCAUCACAUAUGGGUCAAAGCCUAUGGUUUUCUAGCCUGUGCUGUCUAAGGUCAUUCAUGCUUAACUAACCCUACUGUUUUUGACCCAUAUAAAGCCUUAUAAAAACUACUGUUUAAAAAAAAACAAACCUUAAAAAUCAAUACAAUCAAUAAAAAGCAAUCUCAUUUUUUACCAGCUGAAGCAAAAGCUGCCUGUCUAACCUUGGGCAGUCAUCAGUCCAUGUCAGUCAUAUUUCUUUCCCACCCGACAGGCCCUAGAUUGCAAGCUGCAACAGCUCAGAGGUACUUUCCAUCAUUUCCCCUAUCAGGUUUACCCUUCCUUCUUUUGAAAUCAUUUUGCCUCUGUUGUAUUGCAAGCUUGAGGGAAAAAUAGGAGUCAUAUGGAAAAUUCUAAACUCUUUUCUCUUGUGCUAGCCACAACAUUUUGAAAGGAUGUCUAGUGCUGUGGAGAUUAUAA